GUGGCAGGGCAGGAUACCGAGAGAUACCAAAAAACACACCUAAUAAAUAAAUGGCUCAAAAGUUGGUGCAAAUCCAGGGAUUUUGGGUUUUUCGACCAUGGGGAAACUUACUCAGCACCUGGCAUGAUGGCAGCAAAUGAAAGUAGUCUGUCUCUGAGGGGGAGGAGGAUCUUAGCUGAGGAACUAGCAGGACUCAUUGACAGGUCUUUAAACUAGGUAUGAAGGGGGAAGGGAGUAAAAUCAGGGAUGUCGAGCUUGAGUGGGUUAUUCCAGGGCUCGUACCGAACCUGCUGGGCGACGACAGUCAAGUACAAAGGGAUGGACUGGGGCAGGGGGGUGUUGGGGAUGCUGCUGUUCUAGGGGAACCUAGACCAUCUAUAAAGGCGGUGCGACGGAAAGCCGAGCUGAAGUGCCUUUAUACCAAUGCAUGCAGCCUGGGAAACAAGCAGGAUGAGUUGGAAACCGUGAUGUGCUUAGAAAAUUAUGACCUUGUUGCUAUCACGGAAACGUGGUGGGAUGAUUCCCUUAACUGGAAUACCACCAUUGAGGGCUAUCGGCUCUUUAGAAGAGAUAGGCUAGGUAGGAAGGGCGGGGGAGUAGCACUCUAUGUCAAAGAGUGGAUAGACUGUGAGGAGCUUCCUCUGAGAAACAGUCAGGAUCAGGUUGAGAGCCUGUGGGUUAGAAUUAGGGAUGGGUCUAACAAAGGCCAGCUGGUAAUAGGAGUAUACUACAGGCCACCUGAUCAAGGGGAGACUGUUGACGAGGCUUUCUUGCUUCAGAUGCGGGAGGCUUCGUGCUCACGGGCUCUUGUCCUGAUGGGGGACUUCAACCAUCCGGAUGUCUCCUGGAUAGACCACACGGCGAGCUGCAAGAGGUCCAGGAGGCUCCUAGAAUGUGUUGACGAUAACUUUCUGGUCCAGGUGUUGGACAGACCGACCAGAGGUGAAGCGCUGCUGGACCUGCUGCUCACCAAUGUGGAGGAAAUAAUUAAUGGUGUUAAGGUUGGAGGCAGCCUGGGUUGCAGUGACCACGCUCUGGUUGAGUUUGUGAUCUCGAGAAAUGUGGGCCUGGUGAAGAGUGGCAUCAGG
rnacentral:lncRNA from 1 species